AUAUAGUUUUAAUGGCUAAAAAGAGUUGCAGUUCAUAUGUGGUCCAAAAUGUGGUAUAUGAAUGAUAUAUUUCUUAGAAUUAACACUUUUUUUUUAGGUAAUAGAAAACAUUAUAAACUGUAUGAGCAUGUUUCUUUCCUUGACGUUAUCCAAAUCAAAAUAAUUUCAUUUGCAAAUUGAAGUAUGAUUCAUUAAUAAAACCUGUAAGAACACAAAGGGAGGAUAUCACAUGAGAAUGAAAUCUUCAGAAUUUAGCCUUCAGAUUUAUUUUGUCACUUAUUCUCAAUGUAUAUGAAUCAGCUAUAAAGUAAAUGACUUGAUUUUCUAAUCUGGGACCGAUAGGAGAUUUUAUAUAUACUUACAAAUAUUUUUCUAGGAAGGAACACAUUCAUUCCAAUCAACACAUAAGCAUGCUUUUAAUGGGAUCAAUUGUAUAAAACUAAUUGUUGAAAUUAUAAUUAUUGAAUAUCUAUUAAAGUCAAAUUUAAAUAUGAUAAUACAG
rnacentral:lncRNA from 1 species